AUUGAACGCUGGCGGCGUGCUUAACACAUGCAAGUCGAUCGGUAACAGGUGUAGCAAUACAUGCUGACGAGAGGCGGACGGGUGAGGAAUAUUUGGGAAUCUGCCCAUCAGCGGGGGACAACCCGGGGAAACUCGGGCUAAUACCGCAUACGCUCUACGGAGGAAAGCCGGGGACCGCAAGGCCUGGCACUGAUGGAUGAGCCCAAAUCGGAUUAGCUAGUUGGCGGGGUAACGGCCCACCAAGGCGACGAUCCGUAGCUGGUCUGAGAGGACGAUCAGCCACACCGGAACUGAGACACGGUCCGGACUCCUACGGGAGGCAGCAGUGGGGAAUAUUGGACAAUGGGGGAAACCCUGAUCCAGCGACGCCGCGUGGGUGAAGAAGGCCUGCGGGUUGCAAAGCCCUUUCGGUAGGGAAGAAAUCUCUUGUCUUAACACGGCAAGGGUUUGACUUAACCUACAUAAGAAGCACCGGCUAACUCUGUGCCAGCAGCCGCCGUAA
rnacentral:rRNA from 1 species